rnacentral:lncRNA from 1 species
CCACUCAACGAGUCUGUCGUGCUUGCCUUUACCACAAGCAAACAGGAAGAUGGAAGGGAAAGAGGAAGAUGUGAGGUUGGGAGCAAACAAGUUCUCGGAGAGGCAGCCGAUAGGAACGGCAGCGCAGAGCGACAAGGACUACAAGGAACCUCCACCGGCUCCCUUGUUCGAGCCCGGGGAGCUCACCUCUUGGUCCUUCUACAGGGCUGGGAUAGCGGAGUUCAUGGCUACCUUCCUCUUCCUCUACAUCACCAUCCUCACGGUCAUGGGCGUGGUCAAGUCCAACAGCAAGUGCUCCACGGUGGGCAUCCAAGGGAUUGCCUGGGCCUUCGGUGGCAUGAUCUUUGCCUUGGUCUACUGUACCGCCGGGAUCUCUGGUAAGGGAUCUGCUUUCCCUUCCAUUUGGGUCUCUGAAACCUUUUGGUCGACUCACUUCUGCUAAAUCGUCAGGUGGCCACAUCAACCCCGCGGUGACCUUCGGGCUGUUCCUGGCGAGGAAGCUGUCGCUGACCAGGGCUCUGUUCUACAUGGUGAUGCAGUGCCUGGGCGCCAUCUGCGGUGCCGGUGUGGUCAAGGGGUACCAGAAGGGGCUCUAUGAGAGCAACGGUGGCGGAGCUAACGUCGUGGCUCCUGGCUACACCAAGGGUGAUGGCCUGGGUGCUGAGAUCGUCGGCACCUUCAUCCUCGUCUACACUGUUUUCUCUGCUACUGACGCCAAAAGAAACGCCAGGGACUCUCAUGUUCCC